rnacentral:rRNA from 1 species
AUAAUGGGUCAGCGACUUAUAUUCUGUAGCAAGGUUAACCGAAUAGGGGAGCCGAAGGGAAACCGAGUCUUAACUGGGCGUUAAGUUGCAGGGUAUAGACCCGAAACCCGGUGAUCUAGCCAUGGGCAGGUUGAAGGUUGGGUAACACUAACUGGAGGACCGAACCGACUAAUGUUGAAAAAUUAGCGGAUGACUUGUGGCUGGGGGUGAAAGGCCAAUCAAACCGGGAGAUAGCUGGUUCUCCCCGAAAGCUAUUUAGGUAGCGCCUCGUGAAUUCAUCUCCGGGGGUAGAGCACUGUUUCGGCAAGGGGGUCAUCCCGACUUACCAACCCGAUGCAAACUACGAAUACCGGAGAAUGUUAUCACGGGAGACACACGGCGGGUGCUAACGUCCGUCGUGAAGAGGGAAACAACCCAGACCGCCAGCUAAGGUCCCAAAGUCAUGGUUAAGUGGGAAACGAUGUGGGAAGGCCCAGACAGCCAGGAUGUUGGCUUAGAAGCAGCCAUCAUUUAAAGAAAGCGUAAUAGCUCACUGGUCGAGUCGGCCUGCGCGGAAGAUGUAACGGGGCUAAACCAUG